rnacentral:rRNA from 1 species
UACGUAGGGUCCGAGCGUUGUCCGGAGUGACUGGGCGUAAAGCGCGCGCAGGCGGCCUGUUAGGCGCGACGUGAAAGCCCCGGGCUCAACCCGGGAGGGUCGUCGCGAACCGGCGGGCUUGAGGCCGGUAGAGGUGGGUGGAACUCCUGGUGGAGUGGUGAAAUGCGUAGAGAUCAGGAAGAACACCCGUGGCGAAGGCGGCCCACUGGGCCGGUACUGACGCUGAGGCGCGAAGGCGUGGGGAGCGAACGGG